rnacentral:rRNA from 5 species
GACCUGAGAGGGUGAUCGGCCACACUGGAACUGAGACACGGUCCAGACUCCUACGGGAGGCAGCAGUAGGGAAUCUUCCGCAAUGGGCGAAAGCCUGACGGAGCAACGCCGCGUGAGUGAAGAAGGUCUUCGGAUCGUAAAACUCUGUUAUUAGGGAAGAACAAAUGUGUAAGUAACUAUGCACGUCUUGACGGUACCUAAUCAGAAAGCCACGGCUAACUACGUGCCAGCAGCCGCGGUAAUACGUAGGUGGCAAGCGUUAUCCGGAAUUAUUGGGCGUAAAGCGCGCGUAGGCGGUUUUUUAAGUCUGAUGUGAAAGCCCACGGCUCAACCGUGGAGGGUCAUUGGAAACUG